CCAUCUUGAAAAGAAGCUUAGUAUGAUCGACUUUCUCUCCUAUUAGGAAACUUUUCUUGUUGAAACCACAAGACAAGUUUUAAAGCCUCCUAGGGGUUACCGAGGACCUUAGAGCAGCAGAAGAUGGGGAGUUGAUAGUUAAAUCUUAAUCAAAGACCAUCAAGAAAUCGAGAAAGCAGUUUUUGACAUCUUCACGGUCCAGCCGUUUAAACGUUCACUCUUUGAAAAUAAGAUGAAAAAUAACCUAACUGAUGAAGAUGUCAUCAGCUGAACACUCUUAAGGAGCACCAGCAGUUAAGGAUGUCGUCUCUACUUGGCUCAAUUUUGGUUCUGUUGUGUUUAGGCACUGCGAGUGCUCUUG